UUUUCUCUCACCUAAUUUGCGUAUAUCUCCUCUCAUCAGCUUUUCUCUCUCUUCUUCAAUACAUUUUUCCCUCUUCUCCCACAAACACACGUUCCAUACACUUCAAAAACCCUCCUCCGCCAUUAUCGCCCCACACGCCAUUCUUCUUCGCAAGCUUCACAGUUGUAUUUUGGAAAUCUUCUCCCCGUAGGAUUCUUUGAGUUUUCUCUCUAAUGUCGGAUGCAACGCCACUCAGCAGACUACCCAGAGGUUUAUCAGCAUCCAAAGUUGAUGAAAGAAGAAGUAAAUUACACAAUGACAAGUUGAAAGAAGUCCAAGUUGAUGAAGCUUCAAAAGAAACCAAAAAUCAAGUUGGCUCAAAGAGGAAAAAACCUAUGAAAGAUUCAAGAAACCAAAAGGUAAUUGGUAUUUGUUACAUGUAUU